rnacentral:snRNA from 1 species
AGUUGUGUAGUCAACACAAAGAGAACUAUUCUUUUCCCUUUUACUAAAGAAUACCAUGUGUUGGCUACUCACAGCGGCAUACACCAAUUUUUGAAGGCUUCCAUCAUUUGAAAAU